GUCCUUAUGUGUAGCCACCGUUGUUGUCAUAGAUAUGAAUGAGUAGAUAGGACACGCCCCUUUGAGCUGCGUGCUACGGCGAGGCUAAGCUAGUGGGGGCAUUCCGUUGAUGUAGACGGCGUGAAAACGGAAACAACAAGUAUGCCGGCUCACUGUGCUGCAUACAAUUACACACUACGUCGUACGAUUGAGACAAGGAAACUUGGAAUGACUUUUCAUAGGUUUCCCAGAGACUACGGGUUGAGGAGGAAGUGGAAGUUUGUCGGCUUAGACCUGGUGUCAUUCCAUCAGUGUUAAACUUCCCGGCUCAUCUUGGAAGAGUACGUGCCAGAAAGACCACGACCAAGCAGCCUUGAGAUCUUAGGCAGCGUCUCCCUCAGGUCCCUCUCUAUCUCCCUACACAUCCACCAACCACUGGAACACAUCUCCAAAGUUCUGCCGGGCCAGCUCAGCUUCCCCUCAGAAGAAGUGCCGCCACCUGCCAGAUGAAGGAGCCUUUUGAGAGGCAGCUGGCAUCCUGAUUGGACUGUACUUUGGUCUGUUCCAAUCCAGCUUCAGUUCCAGAGACGGCAGGCGGGACGAGUCAACGGAGGCCUGGUGGACGAAGGCAUGCAGCUGAGUACAAUCCAGAAAACAACAGAGGAGGAGUGCAGCGACCCAGAGCCAGAACAAACAGUAUGUCUCUUAGAAAACAUCAUAGUAUAGCCUUUAGUAUGAAAAAACGCCAUCAUAUACAUCGUAUAUUGUACAAAUAACAAGUCAAAGGAAAGAGACAUACAUUGUAGAAUUGUAGUAAU
ensembl:lncRNA